rnacentral:misc_RNA from 1 species
GAAAUGUGAAACGUAGUGUGAAUUGCAGUAUUGUGAAUCAUCGAGUCUUUGAACGCACAUUGCACCUUUCGGUACUCCGGAAGGUAUACUUGUUUGAGUGCCAGCUUCAUUUCUCCGCCGAGCCUGGUCUCUGAGCUCUGGCCUUGCGUUCUGGCGCAGGGCGGGAGGGACGAGCCGGGCCUGGGUUUGGGCAUGUCUUGGGCCAGAUUUGGGCCAAGUCGCCUUAAAAGAAAUGGGCGCUAACGGAAUCAUCGAGUUUGCUCCCGUCUUUAUCCACUGCCAGUUCCAGGGCAAAUGGGAUGGGUGCAAGAUGGUUCGAGGAGCGCGUCCCUCUGGGACAAAACCGCUGGAAACACCGCUGAACUUGGCCUCAAAUCAAGUAAGAGUACCCGCUGAACUUAAGC